UACGUAGGGUGCAAGCGUUAAUCGGAAUUACUGGGCGUAAAGCGUGCGCAGGCGGUGAUGUAAGACAGCUGUGAAAUCCCCGGGCUCAACCUGGGAACUGCAUUUGUGACUGCAUCGCUGGAGUACGGCAGAGGGGGAUGGAAUUCCGCGUGUAGCAGUGAAAUGCGUAGAUAUGCGGAGGAACACCGAUGGCGAAGGCAAUCCCCUGGGCCUGUACUGACGCUCAUGCACGAAAGCGUGGGGAGCAAACAGG
rnacentral:rRNA from 1 species